GAUUAGUGGCGAACGGGUGAGUAACACGUGAGUAACCUGCCCUUCACUUCGGGAUAACCUCGGGAAAUCGUGGCUAAUACCGGAUAUGAGCUCCUUCCGCAUGGCGGGGGUUGGAAAGAUUUAUCGGUGAAGGAUGGACUCGCGGCCUAUCAGUUUGUUGGUGAGGUAAUGGCUCACCAAGGCGAUGACGGGUAGCCGGCCUGAGAGGGCGACCGGCCACACUGGGACUGAGACACGGCCCAGACUCCUACGGGAGGCAGCAGUGGGGAAUAUUGCACAAUGGGCGAAAGCCUGAUGCAGCGACGCCGCGUGGGGGAUGACGGCCUUCGGGUUGUAAACCCCUUUCAGUAGGGAAGAAGCGAAAGUGACGGUACCUGCAGAAGAAGCGCCGGCUAACUACGUGCCAGCAGCCGCGGUAAUACGUAGGGCGCAAGCGUUGUCCGGAAUUAUUGGGCGUAAAGAGCUCGUAGGUGGCUUGUCGCGUCUGCCGUGAAAACCCGAGGCUCAACCUCGGGCGUGCGGUGGGUACGGGCAGGCUAGAGUGUGGUAGGGGAGACUGGAACUCCUGGUGUAGCGGUGAAAUGCGCAGAUAUCAGGAAGAACACCGAUGGCGAAGGCAG
rnacentral:rRNA from 1 species